GAAAUGCCUCCAUGAGAUCCAGCUGUAAGGUAUUUUCUCAAUUAGUGAUCAAUGGGCGAUGGUCCAGCCUAUGGUGGGUGGUACCAUCCCUGAGCUGCUGGUCCUG
rnacentral:miRNA from 1 species